rnacentral:rRNA from 1 species
UACGUAGGUGGCAAGCGUUGUCCGGAAUCAUUGGGCGUAAAGAGCGCGUAGGCGGCCCGAUAAGUCCGCUGUGAAAGACAAGGGCUUAACCCUUGAAUGCCGGUGGAAACUGUCGGGCUAGAGUCCGGAAGAGGCGAGUGGAAUUCCUGGUGUAGCGGUGAAAUGCGCAGAUAUCAGGAGGAACACCGAUGGCGAAGGCAGCUCGCUGGGACGGUACUGACGCUGAGGCGUGAAAGCGUGGGGAGCAAACAAG